UCCAGGGUAGCCUAGUGGACAUGGCACCUGCCCGGUAAGCAGAAGGUUGUGGAAUUCGAUUCCCGCCCCUGGAC